UCCGAGUUGACCCCGGCAGUCUCCUAUGAGUCCCCACCAUCACGUGCUGGCAACAUAGAACGAGGGUUGCGCUCGUUGCGGGACUUAACCCAACAUCUCACGACACGAGCUGACGACAACCAUGCACCACCUGUGAACCGGCCCCAAAGGGGAAACCACAUUUCUGCGGCGAUCCGGCCCAUGUCAAGUCCAGGUAAGGUUCUUCGCGUUGCAUCGAAUUAAAGAACAUGCUCCGCUGCUUGUGCGGGCCCCCGUCAAUUCUUUUGAGUUUUAGCCUUGCGGCCGUACUCCCCAGGCGGGGCACUUAAUGCGUUAGCUUCGGCACGGAAGGAGUCGACACCUCCCACACCUAGUGCCCAUCGUUUACGGCAUGGACUAC
rnacentral:misc_RNA from 1 species